rnacentral:rRNA from 1 species
GAUGAACGCUGGCGGCGUGCUUAACACAUGCAAGUCGAACGGUGAACGAGGGAGCUUGCUCCCUCCGGAUCAGUGGCGAACGGGUGAGUAACACGUGAGCAAUCUGCCCCGAACUCUGGGAUAAGCGCUGGAAACGGCGUCUAAUACCGGAUACGACGCGCGAAGGCAUCUUCUGCGCGUGGAAAGAAUUUCGGUUCGGGAUGAGCUCGCGGCCUAUCAGCUAGUUGGUGAGGUAACGGCUCACCAAGGCGACGACGGGUAGCCGGCCUGAGAGGGUGACCGGCCAAACUGGGACUGAGACACGGCCCAGACUCCUACGGGAGGCAGCAGUGGGGAAUAUUGCACAAUGGGCGCAAGCCUGAUGCAGCAACGCCGCGUGAGGGACGACGGCCUUCGGGUUGUAAACCUCUUUUAGCAGGGAAGAAGCGAAAGUGACGGUACCUGCAGAAAAAGCACCGGCUAACUACGUGCCAGCCGCCGCCGUAAUAC